rnacentral:misc_RNA from 1 species
AAGAAACCCUUCGGGUAAUCUUUAUUAGAGUAACUUCAUAAAAACAAUACUUUUUCCUUUGUGUUUGUGUUUUAAUGCGCAAUUCAACACGAGUAAAGAGAACAAAGUGAAGAAGAAAAAAGGCCGAGUAUACCUGCCAAGUCGUCAAAGAAUCUGGACCAUUUGUCAAAUUUCAGCUAGAGUGGCACUUGCCAAAGCACAGUACAAAUCGCAUGCAUGAUAUACUCAACAAGCCAGGAGCUAUCAACACCCUUCACCUGACAAUCCCAAAGUUACAGGAGUCUGAUAGUGGAAAGUACCGUUGUGUUGCCAGAGGUCUAUUACUACCAUCAAAAUUUUUAAAAUGAUUUCAUCCGUUUCCAAAAAUACUCUUCAUCUUUCAUCAGCACAGAGACUUUGGUUACCGAGACUUUUUGUUGGGAAAUCAUUUGUUAGAUUUUUGGGUGGACCAUCUAUUAUUCAAAAACCUAUUGCUCAGCCAAUUAAUUUGGCAAAUGAACCUAUUUUAGGUUAUUUGAAAAGCAGCGAAGAAAGAGUUGCCUUGGAAAAUGCAUUACAACAUAGGCAAUCUGCUGUUGAAGAAAUUCCAAUUGUUAUUGAUGGCAAAGAAUAUUGGACUGAUGAUGUUCAUUUAUCAGACAAUGCCCUCUAACCAUCAGAAAAAGAUCGCGAUAUUCUGCUAUGGUUCUCCCGUAUUUUACUUUUUUUUUAAAAGG